CCCCAUUCGCAUUCAACCGCAUUCGGUACUUUUUCGUCUAAAUACACUUCGCCACUAAGCUAUGUAAUUCAUGUUUUUAGCAUUCAUACGAACGCUGCAUUCGGCCAGAUACUUAGGAUUUCUACCAAACAAAGGUAGUCAUUAUAUACUGUCAUCACAUUCGACUUAAAUUCGUGCAUUUCUCACUAAUUAUACAAGAUCCUGCAUCCACUUCUUAGGUGGAAUCUCGCCCCCUAC